UAUCUCAUCAAAGAGCUGGGAUAUGCUAACAAAAUGACGUAUCACAGCUAGCUUUGAUGAGCUAGG
rfam:Octopus bimaculoides Scaffold40646_contig_7, whole genome shotgun sequence.